GACGAACGCUGGCGGCGUGCUUAACACAUGCAAGUCGAACGGAAAGGCCCUGCUUUUGUGGGGUGCUCGAUUGGCGAACGGGUGAGUAACACGUGAGUAACCUGCCCUUGACUUUGGGAUAACUUCAGGAAACUGGGGCUAAUACCGGAUAGGAGCUCCUGCUGCAUGGUGGGGGUUGGAAAGUUUCGGCGGUUGGGGAUGGACUCGCGGCUUAUCAGCUUGUUGGUGGGGUAGUGGCUUACGAAGGCUUUGACGGGUAGCCGGCCUGGGAGGGUGACCGGCCACAUUGGGACUGAGAUACGGCCCAGACUGCUACGGGAGGCAGCAGUGGGGAAUAUUGCACAAUGGGCGGAAGCCUGAUGCAGCAACGCCGCGUGCGGGAUGACGGCCUUCGGGUUGUAAACCGCUUUCGCCUGUGACGAAGCGUGAGUGACGGUAAUGGGUAAAGAAGCACCGGCUAACUACGUG
rnacentral:rRNA from 1 species